rnacentral:rRNA from 1 species
GACGAACGCUGGCGGCGUGCCUAAUACAUGCAAGUCGAACGCUUUUUCUUUCACCGGAGCUUGCUCCACCGAAAGAAAAAGAGUGGCGAACGGGUGAGUAACACGUGGGUAACCUGCCCAUCAGAAGGGGAUAACACUUGGAAACAGGUGCUAAUACCGUAUAACACUAUUUUCCGCAUGGAAGAAAGUUGAAAGGCGCUUUUGCGUCACUGAUGGAUGGACCCGCGGUGCAUUAGCUAGUUGGUGAGGUAACGGCUCACCAAGGCAACGAUGCAUAGCCGACCUGAGAGGGUGAUCGGCCACACUGGGACUGAGACACGGCCCAGACUCCUACGGGAGGCAGCAGUAGGGAAUCUUCGGCAAUGGACGAAAGUCUGACCGAGCAACGCCGCGUGAGUGAAGAAGGUUUUCGGAUCGUAAAACUCUGUUGUUAGAGAAGAACAAGGAUGAGAGUAAAACGUUCAUCCCCUUGACGGUAUCUAACC